rnacentral:lncRNA from 1 species
AAAAGAGGGCACACUCUCUAUGUGAAAGAUAGUUUUGUGGGAGGCUUUUGUGAAAGAAAGAAGCUUCUAGAACAGAUAUGCAAGCAACUAUUUAGAAUUUGAUUUAAUUUUCUUUGACCAGGUAAAAGCUUGAUAAACGCAUUGAGAUUAUAAUUCUUUUUUUCUUUCACAACAGUGGAGAAAAUAUUUAUCACAUAAUCCUCGUUGUUGAAGCAAAAUGUGUCUAAAGGAAAUUGCAAAUAAAAAUGCAGCCUGAAUUCAGUGCAGCACCAUUUGUUUCACCAGACAGAUGCCAAAAAAUACAAAAGAGCAACUUUGGGAAUGUGCAGGGCAGUCCAAGAAAAGAACGGAGGAAACAAUCUUGUUGCAUUUAAUUCUGACAGCUUCUGAACUAGAACUUGGCACAACAAUGGAGACGGCAAAGCAUACACUGCUUCUUGGCCAGCCAGAAAGAGCACUGAAGAAGCCAGCAUGGUUUUGCCUUUUCCUUGCAUUUCUGCCCAUGUAUUGAAUGCAUGCUAUUAUACUUGUAAAGGUGUCAGCAGCAAUGUGUACAGCUCUGGAAAGACAGUUGUGUACCAGAAAAUUGCCAUGUAGUCAACCUAUUGCUUUUGCUUUGUAUAAAAGGCACGUUGUUUGCUAAUUACACAUCACAGUACAUAGAACAGAGGGAAGUCAGGCCGGCAAUGAGCACACUAAGCCAUAUCAUCCCCUGUCGUGCAAAAAGGAAGAGAGUGAAAACAUGCAACAAAAAUCUCUUCUCAAAUGGAGCCAUGCAGAAAGCACCAGAUAUCCCCAUCACACUUGGAUGAGUUUGUUCUAUAAACAGCAAUCAAUUGGUGCUGCAGUAAGUGAGGAAGCUUCAUUAGUAAAAGGGCAGAAUUCAUCUCUGUGCAAUGAACGCAUCUGAACUUGCACCUUCCAGACACCAAACAUACAAUCGACAACACUUGACCACAUUUUGUGUCAAGAAAAACUCUGUUCACCAGAGACUUGUAUAAACACGUACAACUCAGGAAGCUCAAAGAGGCAAACAUUGGCUCAGAGCUGUAGAGUACCCAGUGAACUCAGUGUGACCACUCGGUCAUAAUAUAGCAAAUGAGUAUAGAAUAAUAAUUUUCUUUAUGCUAAGCAAAGGAGGUGGCAGGCAGAAAUUACUCAACCAUACUCAAGAAGUACAUAGCUGAAAAAAAAGUCACAUUAGUGGUUAUGUGAGUAAUGAGAUGCAGGUAAGCACUGUGGGUGGUUGGCAUAAGUGUUGACUUUAACAGCCUUCAAUAAGCAUGGAAGUCUUCCACUACUAAA